GCUCGCUUCGGCAGCACAUAGACUAAAAUUGGAACGAGACAGAGAAGACUGGCAUGGCCUCUGCACAAGGAUGACAUGCAAAUUCGUGAAGCGGUCCAUAGGGAA
ensembl:snRNA U6 U6 spliceosomal RNA